AUUGAACGCUGGCGGCAGGCCUAACACAUGCAAGUCGAGCGGAUGACGGGAGCUUGCUCCUUGAUUCAGCGGCGGACGGGUGAGUAAUGCCUAUGAAUCUGCCUGGUAGUGGGGGACAACGUUUCGAAAGGAACGCUAAUACCGCAUACGUCCUACGGGAGAAAGCAGGGGACCUUCGGGCCUUGCGCUAUCAUAUGAGCCUAGGUCGGAUUAGCUAGUUGGUGGGGUAAUGGCUUACCAAGGCGACGAUCCGUAACUGGUCUGAGAGGAUGAUCAGUCACACUGGAACUGAGACACGGUCCAGACUCCUACGGGAGGCAGCAGUGGGGAAUAUUGGACAAUGGGCGAAAGCCUGAUCCAGCCAUGCCGCGUGUGUGAAGAAGGUCUUCGGAUUGUAAAGCACUUUAAGUUGGGAGGAAGGGCAGUAAGUUAAUACCUUGCUGUUUUGACGUUACCGACAGAAUAAGCACCGGCUAACUCUGUGCCAGCCGCCGCGGUAAAAC
rnacentral:rRNA from 1 species